rnacentral:rRNA from 1 species
UACAGAGGGUGCGAGCGUUGUUCGGAAUUACUGGGCGUAAAGCGCGCGCAGGCGGCUUCUUAAGUCUGACGGUGAAAUGCCGGGGCUCAACCCCGUGCCCGCCGCGGAUACUGGGGAGCUGGAGACGAGUAGAGGCAAGCGGAAUUCCGGGUGUAGCGGUGGAAUGCGUAGAGAUCCGGAAGAACACCGGAGGCGAAGGCGGCUUGCUGGGCUCGGUCUGACGCUGAGGCGCGAAAGCGUGGGGAGCGAACAGG